CACUGAAGCCAACAUUAAGAAAGGAAGACUGACUGCCUACAAAUUUGGCUUUUCCGACGGAUUAAACACCUGGUAAAGCAAGGGCCGGGCAAGACCGGUGCCAGCCGCCGCGGUAACACCGGCGGCUCGAGUGGUAACCGUUAUUAUUGGGUUUAAAGGGUCUGUAGCCGGCUGGAUAAGUCUCUUGGGAAAUCUUGCGGCUUAACUGUCAGGCGUUCAGGGGAUACUGUCUGUCUAGAGACCGGGAGAGGUGAGAGGUACUUCAGGGGUAGGGGUGAAAUCCUGUAAUCCUUGAGGGACCACCAGUGGCGAAGGCGUCUCACCAGAACGGACCUGACAGCAAGGGACGAAAGCUAGGGGCACGAACCGGAUUAGAUACCCGGGUAGUCCUAGCUGUAAACGGCUAGCUGCUUUACUUGUAUUCGCUAGGACUGGCAUGGGAACGCUAGGAAUAGGCUAUGGGAGCGCUAGCACAUGGC
rnacentral:rRNA from 1 species